rnacentral:rRNA from 1 species
AUUGAACGCUGGCGGCAUGCCUUACACAUGCAAGUCGAACGGUAACGGGCCUUCGGGUGCCGACGAGUGGCGAACGGGUGAGUAAUGCAUCGGAACGUACCCAUCAGUGGGGGAUAACUCUCCGAAAGGAGGGCUAAUACCGCAUAUUCUGUGCGCAGGAAAGCGGGGGACCGCAAGGCCUCGCGCUGAUGGAGCGGCCGAUGUCAGAUUAGCUAGUUGGUGGGGUAAAGGCCUACCAAGGCGACGAUCUGUAGCGGGUCUGAGAGGAUGAUCCGCCACACUGGGACGGAGACACGGCCCAGACUCCUACGGGAGGCAGCAGUGGGGAAUUUUGGACAAUGGGGGCAACCCUGAUCCAGCCAUGCCGCGUGAGUGAAGAAGGCCUUCGGGUUGUAAAGCUCCUUCGGCCGGGAAGAAAUCGCAUCUCCUAAUACGGGGUGUGGAUGACGGUACCGGAAUAAGAAGCACCGGCUAACUACGUGCCAGCCGCCGCCGUAAUAC